AGUCGAACGGCAGCACGGACUUCGGUCUGGUGGCGAGUGGCGAACGGGUGAGUAAUGUAUCGGAACGCCUAGUAGCGGGGAUAACUACGCGAGUGGUAGCUAAUACCGCAUACGCCCUUCGGGGGAAAGCGGGGGACCUUCGGGCCUCGCACUAUUAGAGCGGCCGAUAUCGGAUUACGGUUGGUGGGGUAACGGCUCACCAAGGCGACGAUCCGUAGCUACUGAGAGGACGACCCAGCCACACUGGGACUGAGACACGCCCAGACUCCUACGGGAGGCAGCAGUGGGGAAUUUUGACAAUGGGGGAAACCCUGAUCCAGCCAUCCCGGGCGUGUGCGAUGAAGGCCUUCGGGUUAAAGCACUUUUGGCAGGAAAGAAACGGCACGGGAUAAUACCCCGUGCAACUGACGGUACCUGCAGAAUAAGCACCGGCACCACGUGCCAGCAGCCGCGGUAAUACGUAGGGUGCAAGCGUUAAUCGGAAUUACUGGGCGGUAUGCGCGCAGGCGGUUCGGAAAGAAGAUGUGGAACUUAGAGUUUAACUUUUGAACGCAUUUUUAACUACCGAGCUAGAGUGUGCUUCAGAGGGAGGUGGACUCAUGUGGCAGUGAAAUGCGUAGAUAUGCGGAGGAACACCGAUGGCGAAGGCAGCCUUCGGGGAUAACACCGACGCUCAUGCACGAAAGCGUGGGGAGCAAACAGGAUUAGAUACCCUGGUAGUCCACGCCCUAAACGAUGUCAAUUCUAUGGUUGGGCCUCGGGCCUGGUAGCAGCUAACGCGUGAAGUUGACCGCCUGGGGAGUACGGUCGCAAGAUUAAAACUCAAAGGAAUUGACGGGGACCCGCACAAGCAGGGACGAUGUGGAUUAAUUCGAUGCAAAUCGUGCUGCAUGGCCGUCGCUCAGUCGUGUCGAGAUGCUGGGUUAAGUCCCGCAACGAGCGGCAACCCUUGUCAUUAGUUGCUACGAAAGGGCACUUACCUGAGACUGCCGGUGACAAACCGGAGGAAGGUGGGGAUGACGUCAAGUCCUCACGGCCCUUAUGGGUAGGGCUUCACACGUCAUACAAUGGUCGGGACAGAGGGUCGCCAACCCGCGAGGGGGAGCCAAUCCCAGAAACCCGAUCGUAGUCCGGAUCGCAGUCUGCAACUCGACUGCGUGAAGUCGGAAUCUGCUAGUAAUCGCGGAUCAGCAUGUCGCGGUGAAUACGUUCCCGGGUCUUGUACACACCGCCCGUCACACCAUGGGAGUGGGCUUUACCAGAAGUAGUUAGCCUAACCGUAAGGAGGGCGAUUACCACGGUAGGAUCUAUGACGGGGUGAAGUCGUAAACAGGCAAAC
rnacentral:rRNA from 1 species